rnacentral:sRNA from 1 species
UGAUUAAUCCAUCUUCUUUAGUUUCGCAAAUGCGCCGACAACGUUUUGACUUCAAAAACAAAAGUAGAACUCGUGUGUGAAAAGCAAGAUUCUUUCUUUCUUUUCUUUCUGGUAAAUGUUCUAAAUUGUAAUUAUAAUAUCCGAAUAUUGCUUU